AUGAGCCUCAGACUCAAAGCCACCCCUUCCUGUAACAGUGCCAGACCAUUUCAUGCCCUGCAGGUGUUGCUGCUUCUGUCACUGCUGCUGACCGCUCUGCCUUCCUGCACCAAUGGGCAAAGCAAGAGAAACUUAGGGAAAAGCAAAGGUAGAGACCUGGACAGUGACUUGUACAUUGAACUGUGCUGCGUGUGUGUGAAGUCAGCCUCUGGAAUUCAUCCCAGCAACAUCUUGGAAGUGGUCAGGUCAGGAGCCCCUUGCAACAAAGUCCAAGUGAUGAGCCAUGCUGAAAGAUGGGAGGAAAAUGUACCUGGACCCAGAAGCUCCCAGAAUCAAGAAGAUAGUCCAGAAAAUGUUGGAAGGUGAUGGGUCA
rnacentral:lncRNA from 1 species